rnacentral:rRNA from 1 species
UACCGAUUGAAUGGCUCAGUGAGGCGUCCGGACUGGCCCAGAGAGGUGGGCAACUACCACUCAGGGCCGGAAAGUUCUCCAAACUCGGUCAUUUAGAGGAAGUAAAAGUCGUAACAAGGUCUCCGUUGGUGAACCAGCGGAGGGAUCAUUA